AUCUAUGGCCAUACCAUCUUGAAUGUGCCUGAUCUUGUCUGUCUUGGAAGCUAAGCAGGGUCGGGCCUGGUUAGCACUUGGAUGGGAGACACAAACCAUCAAUGGGCGGGAACCAGAGCCAAAAAAU
rnacentral:rRNA from 1 species